AUAACAAUUUUGAAGGUGACUCGAUGCGCAUGCGCUAGUUUUAUCCCCAGUAAAAUCUGUGGGUGGCAUACCUGUACAACUGCAUGAGAAUCCGGUGUGAUUGUACUAUCUUUUUCAAAAUUGUUAUAUCUGUUAGUCCGACAGCUGGGGUCACAGAGGUUAUCUUUUUAAACUUUAAAUUCAGAUGGUGAAUAUACAGUGGAAUUACAAGUGCGGACGUGUUUUCCGUUUCUGAAUAUUUUUUGAAGCCGCCGAUUGCAUCACAAUCGACAAUCGUUUUUGUGAUACACUUUUUGAUUUUCCCAUACACAAGUAGCCUUUAAAGUCGUGGGAGACGCGGGCGAAAGAGAAUCUGAAAAUAGACAAUGUUUCGACUAACGCGGAGAACACUGUGAAGAAACCCGCUCUGGAUGCUGAGUUCUUCGAUGUUUAUAAAAAUACUAAUGGUGUCGUCAUCGUCAUGGAACCAAUUGAGCUGUCAACUGAGACCUAGAAGCCUUAUUCUCAAUGGCGAAGCCAUUAACGAAAAAGGAGGUGGAAUAUUUUCUCCUAAAGCAGGCUCAGGAUAUUACGUAAUUACGCCUUUCAGAUUGGAGGAUCCAUUACUAUCAUGGUGAAUCGUGGAUGGAUUCCUAGAAGUGAUCGUUCAACGUUUAAAAUGGAAAAGAAGAUUACAGAUCCCAUAGAAAUUAUUGGCAUUAUCAGAGCAACAAAAAAGCGACCUCCAUUUGUACCUAACAAUGCUCCUGGGAAAGGUGUAUGGCAUUUCAGAGAUUUAGAUGCAAUGGCAAAGGUAGCAGAAGCAGUACCUGUGUGCAUAGAAUUAUUAGCCGGAUAUGGCGCACCUCAAGGUCCGGUCGGAGGACAGACAAAAGUAACUUUAAGGAACGAACAUUCAAAUUAUAUGAUCACCUGGUAUUCGUUGUCUGCCUGUACGAGCUACAUGUGAUUUCGACAAUUUGUACAAAAAUUACCUCUUCUUUAAAUGCAUAGAUGUUCACCCGAUAUACAUAUAAUGAUAUACAUACCGAAAAGAUAUGUAAAAAAAGAAUGUAAAUAUAUGUACAUUGUCAUAAAAAAUUUUUUUAUUGUGAUUACACGUUAUAUUUUUUAUAUUUCAUUUUUUUACAUACAACUUUAUGGAAAUGAAACAAUGUUGACUUAUGCGAAUCAAACACGUACAAAACUGAAAAAAUAAACGUAAUUUGUAGAAUUCUUUAUUUGAAUGUAAAUGUGACAACUGUAAAUGUAUUCUUUAUAUGAGAAAUAUCGUUUAAUUGUUUUCCUGAAGAAUAAAACUUACUGUUAGACCUUUU